AAAAAAACAUAUUUUCGAGGCACUACUAUAGUUGUUGUAUUCGACUCUGUCGAAUACAACUUACAACCUAUACAACCAGCUAUUUCGACAUACACCUUAUGUCUUGACAUUUCGAGUGAACAAGAAUUAUACUAUCUAACAUCCUUGACACCAAAGCCGAGGACCACUUGGAUUGGUUUAUGGAUAACCUGCAUAAGAAAAUUGGAUUUGGUAUUCUCACUUAUGUCUAGAGAGAUCAUGUGGUUAGGAAUACUCCUCUUAGAGUUAAGUUUCCAAGGAUUUUCUCUAUUUUCGACCAGGUUGAUCAAUCAGUGGAGAGGUUGGUUUCUAGGUGGGAGAGUGUGA